CUUCGACCAAACGAAUAAAAACCGGAGCUUCUUUCUGUUCUCUCCCUUUGGACAGGGCUCGGUGGGGCUGGAGUCCAUAAAACCUGAAGUGACUCCUCCCGAGCGCCCUUGGGCUCUCCUGUCUCUUGGAAGUGGACAGCAGGGCCACAGGUGUGCGCCACCACAGCCACCCGAGCCAGAUUCCCCUCUGCUGAGAAGCCCGGGCUGUGGGCGGCCUCCUCAGCCUGCGUCUGCUGGGCCGGGCCCAGACGUGGACCAGCCCCCUCGCUGGAGGAGGGAUGCAGCUCUGCCCUACGAGGUCAGCAACCAGAAGGUUCGGACCCAGCAGAGCAGGGGCAGGGGGGCCGGGGGGCCGGGAGCCCAGCGGGCUGGCGGGGAGCGGAGCGGGCCUGGGCCGCACAGCUGGUCGGCUCCCUGGGCGGGCGCUGUGGCCGGGUCUCCGGAAGCCAGGGGGCGGAGGACGCUUCACCCCAAAUUCAGGCUGUGCGCCACCCCAGCCUAAGCUGCAGCCUAACCCACUCUCACCCUGCGACCCCGGAGACCCCGGAGGCCCCAAGGAUGGGACACAGCGUGAGCCCUGUCCCUGCCUCGCCCCCUGCGUCCCUCCGGGGGUGGAAGCGCUGGCUUCGAGCUGUGACAAAGGACAUUACUUCAGAUGGCCGCUCAGGGCGGCCUCUCUCGGGUGACUCCGGUGCCCACCUUGAUGACCCGCCAUGGAGACCGGGGCACUUUGGAGAGCACAGAGGCCCCGAGAGUCCCCGAGAAGUGGGCAGGAGAGGAGGGGCGGCCCGGGCAGGCUGUGGGAGCCAGCAGAGUCCCAGCAGGAGCAACUCCAUCUGGGUGCUUUGACAAAGGUCUGCAGAGUCCUCCGGGAGAGGCGGAUCCCUUCCCGGAGUGUUUACACGGUGUCGGUGUCAUUAAGGCUCUUGGUGACAGGAAAGCAGUGCUCCCCAGCCCCCGGUCCCAGCCAGCAUGGUCCAGAAAGGGGUCCAUGCCAGGGCCCUGACACCCGUUGCCCUGCCCAGUGUGCCUGGGAAGCUGUCCCUGUCGACUUUGGCUGGGGAUGGUGGCGCACACCUGUAAUCCCAGCACUGGGGAGGCUGAGGCAGGAGGAUCACCAUGAGUUCGAGGCCAGCCUGGGCUCCAUAGUGAGGCCCUGUGUCAAAACCAAACCAAAACAAACCAAAGAAGGCACCUUUGGAACAGGUUCCACUGUGGGUUCCAGGCACCCCUGGAGCACCUGCCUGGACAGGUGCCCAGAGCAGGGUCCCCUCAGGAGAGGCGUGGGCAUGGCGGCUCUGCCUGCCCUGCUCCUGCAGGGUGCCCCGCGCUGCCCUUCCGCUCUGAGCACCCAGGGUCCCAGCAGAGGAGCCCGGUGCUGGUAACACGGUCCCCAGGUAGGAGGAAGGAUGGAAUCUGUGCGGCAGGAAAUAGCGAAGCAGACUGACUCGGGCUGGAGCGUGGAAAUGUGGCUUUCAUCUGAGAAGUCCGUGUGGGGCCCACGCCGGCUCCAGAGGGGAAGUGGGGCUCAUGAGUUAGACCUGCAGCCGGGACACUGGCUCGGACUCCCAACACAGCAGCGCUCAGAAACUCUGGCCUGGAAACAAAAGUCCAAAGUAACAAGGUGUCCAGUGAGAGAAACCCUGCCUGUGGGGCUUCUGUGUACUUCUCCAUACUUUCUUGAAAGUGCUGCCAAAGUCAGGCCACUGUUAGACCCACAGUUCUGCUGCUUGAGCCGGUCAAGCUCGUACCACAGGGCCUUUGCACAUGGCAGGCUUGCGGCUGGACUGUCCCCUCUACCCUCCCCUGGUUGGCUCCUCCCCAGUCAGCUCUGUCCUCAAAUAUCACCUUCCCAGAGAAGCCCCACCCUCCCCCACUCUCAAAUUACUCUGAUCGUGUUUAUUUUUCAGUAUUUGAUGUUAUUUUUGGUUCUCUGUAUCUGCACAUUUCACAACUGUGGCUCAAAAAUGUUUUUUACAAAAGGUACAUAUGUGGGCCGGGGAUUUAGCUCAGUGGUUCCGCUGCCUGACUUGCAAGCGCAAAGACCUGAGUUCAAUUCCCAGUACCAAAAAAAAAAAGGGGGGGACAUUUGUAUUGAGCAUGUAUGUGCAGGGUUUUUUUCUUGUCAGAAUUCCCUAAGCAAUGUGGUAGAAGAAUUAUUUGCUUAGCAUUUACUUUGCGUUGGGUAUCAUAAAUCACCUAGAGAUGAUUUAAAGUGUACGGGAGGAUGUAUGUUGAUCAGAUGCAAAUGUGGUGUCAUUUCCUGUGUAUCUGAAAUUAUUCUGCUGAGAACAGAGUUUAGACCCGUGGUAGCUCAUGUGCUUAGCAUGUGCCGGGUCCCGGUUUCAAUUCCUGGCACGAAACAAAAACAGAAUUUUUUUUAAAAAUUAUGUUUGCUGGCUGGUGAUUUCGCUGGGUGCCUGUACCCAGCCCCAGAAUGCACUUCCUCGAGCCAGAGCCCAGAGUUCCUGUCCACAGGCUCAGAGGCACUCAAUGAGCACUCCGGUGCCCGGAGGGACAGGUCAAUAAAGCUUUGGGCUAGGGCCGGGGUUGUGGGCUUGGAUCUGUUUUCAGAUGCUUCUGGCUGGAGGCCCAGGAGCACCAAUGCCGAGGUUGGACAAAGGAGACAUUUAUUAGUUCCACAAACCAGGAGGUCCUGGGAUGGGGGGCUCCCGGGGCCUCAGUUCCAGGCCCCAGUUUCCUGCUUCCCGCUGGGUACAUGGUGGUCUGGCACCCAGAGAAGAAAGGAAGCCGCUGCCUUGUGUCCCUUUAUAUUAGCAGGAAAAUUUCCCAGAAUUCCUCCUGCACAUACUCCUAUAUGUUAUUGGGCAGCAUUUGGUCACAUGUCCAGCCCUCAGCCAAUCACACUGAGAGGAAUGGUGUUCCCAACACUGGUUUAGAACCAACAGGAGUGUCUCUUUUCUCCUUUCUCUUUUUCCCUGUGGUACUGGGGAUAGAAGCUUGGGCCUUCACAGGUUGAGCUUGUACUUUUAAUCCUCCUGACUCAGCCUCUCAGAGUGCUGGGAUUACAAGCUUGUACCCCAUGCCUGGCUAGAAUUUCCUUCUGCUGGGUUAGAGGUCCCUUUUCAAAGCAUCUCUGACUGCUGGGAGAAAAGUAGAUAGAUCCUCUGCCUUCAAGAGAAAAGAGGAGAGGAGGGAAUGAAUUUUGGGAAAGUAACUGACGGUGUCUGUCAUCAUGCAUGUUUAUUUUUUUAAUCUAAAAUUGGUUUUUUUGUUUGUUUUUGGUACCGGGAAUCAAACUCGGGACCUUGUGCUUUUGAGGCAGGAGCUGGAACCACUGAGCUAAAUCCCCAGCCCUAAAAUUGUUUUUGAGACAGGGUCUCGAGAUGUAGUCCAGGCUGGCUUUGAACCCAGAGCCAUCCUCCUGCCUCAGCCUCCCAAAUGCUGGGAUCACGGGCGUGUGCACCACCAUGCCCAGUCACACAUGUUUAUUUUUAAACUGUAAUUCUUGAGAAAACCCCUUAAGGUAUUGUUUGUUCCCAUCAGCAAAUAUCUAAUAUUUAGCUACUGAGUAGAUAAUUUUUAACACCCCCUUCUAAAUAAUAAUUUUCAGUAAUAAAUAAUUAUGAUUAUUGGUAAUCAACAUUUGGUUAAUUCCUUCUUUAGUGUUUAAAUGAAAAGAAGGAUACAGGGCCAGGGAUUUAGCUCAGUGGUUUCGCCACCUGCUGUGCAAGCGCAAGGCCCCGAGUUCGAUCCCCGGUACCAAAAGAGACAAAUAAAAAAAACCCACAAAACUUUAACGUGAUCUCGAAAAGAAGAAUACAUUUCUGUUUUAAAGAUAUUUACUUGGCCAGGCAUGGUGCUGCACAUCUGUGAUCCCACCUCCCAGGAGGCUGAGUGAGUUCAAGGCCAGCCUGGACUACAUAGUGAGACCCUGUCUCAAAAACAAACAAACAAACAAACAAACAAACAAAAGACAUUUACUUAAAUUCAAUGAAAUGCGCUUUCCUGUGUGCACGCGUGCAGGGCGGCUGCGCCUGUGUGGGAACAUCGCAGUUGUUGGAAGGCUGGCGAGACGCUGUGCUGACUGAAGGCAAAGUGCACAUCGCAGGGACGUGGUGGUACUGCCACACUCUCUCCCCGCUGCGCCAGGUUAGCAAAAAGCGGCUCAGGCUUCUGCGGCUGCUGCGAGUCCAUCUUGGGCACUCAGCUGUGCCAUCUUGAGGAACACGCACACCCAAAUGCCAGGGACACUCACUGGAGGCCCAGGGUGCCUCAAACUUGACACCCUCCUGCUCCAGCCUCCCACAGUGCUGGGGUGGCAGGCGGCCACCAUCAUGGCCAGCCCCAAUAAAACUUUAUUUAUGACAACAGGCUGGGGACCAGCUUGGCCUGCUGAGGAAGUCCCCUGAGUCUGGCUGUAGAACUGAGACCAGUGUGAGGCACUGUUUGGGGCACAGUUUGUUGCUGAGGGCAGGAAGCGCAGUCUCCUUGUGUAACCAUGACUACCGUCCAUCCCAGAACUCCUCACCUUCCAAAUAUGAACCCCAGGACCUUUAGACCCCAAUUCCCCUGCCUCUGGGUCCCACCCACCUGCCCUAUCUCCACGUGUCUGACUCCAGGGACCUCAUGCAAAUGGAGUCACACAGUAUUUAUCCUUCUGUGACUUGCUUAUCUCACUGAGCACAAUGUCUUCUGGGUCCAUCCAUGUUGUAACAGGUGUGGGAACUUCCUUCCUCUUCUGGGCUGUAUAAUAUUCCCCUGCCCAGAGUCCCUGGGCUGCCUCUGCCUUGGGCCCUUACUAAGCAGGGACACAAACAUCUGUUUCUGCCCUUCUUCUUGGUUCUUUGUGCCCCAUACCCAGAAGUAGAUUGUUGUGUUCUGUGCUCAUUCCAAUUUAAGGUUUUGAGAGCCACUACCUGGCUGCCACUGCACCCGCACCAUCUUGUGUCCCAUCAGCAAAGCCCGACUUCAUGCUCCUCCUGUCCUCCCAGGUUCCUGUCUCUUCCUGUUUCUCAGCUGUUGUCCCAGGGCGUGGACAGCCAGAUUACCUGGUGGCUUUGCUUUGCGUCUCCCUGCAGAUAAGGGACAAGUCCCUCCACACUGUCCUCUCCCACGUGUGCCCUCCAGGCAGGCCGAGGAGGCUUGCGGCAGCGAGGAGGUGGCCCCUGCCUCGGGUGUCACCCUCCCAGCCACGAAGCAGGAAGCAGGCCAGGGCCUCACUCUGAAGUUCAGGUGGCCUGGAACUCACUAUAUAACCCAGACUGGUCUUGAUCUCCCAGAGAGCCUCCUGCCUCAGCCUCCUGAGUGCUAGGAUUACAAGGUAAAUGCACACUGGCAGCUCUCUGAGCCCACACAGUGGACAUCAGCCCUGUUUUACCUCCAGACCCGCCCACCACCAUUCCCCGGUCCCCUCAAGCCUCCUAGGAGCUGGGCCUGUCUUCCCUGCAUCCAUGCAGGAAGCAGAUGUGUGCGUAGACCCGAAGGUGUGAAGAUGGUCAUCAGAGGGUCACCGCGGUGCAGGAACAAAGCAGGGUGGGAGUGGGGGCUCCGGGUGGGAGGAGGCGCGGGGGAUGUGGGCUUGGGGACCUGGGGUCCAGACUGGGCUCCCACAGGACCUGGGGGUUCGGUUUCCUGUAGCCACGCUGCCAGAGGUGGGCAGGGCUGCGCCCCUUCUCGGGGGCCCUGGAGGAGGCUCCAGCCCGAGGGUCAGGCGGCAGCUUUGGUCCCCGCCUCUUCCUCCUCCUCUUCUUCCUUCCCGUAUUGGGGACCGAAUCAGGGCGGUGCACCCCUGAGCCAGCCCAGCGCUGGUUAUUUUAUUCUGAGGCAGGGUCCUGACGAAGUUGCCAGGCUGGCUUCCAAGGUUUGAUCCUCCUGCCUCAGCCUCCAGAGUAGCUGGGGUGACGGGUGUGUGCCACCACGCCUGGCUCACUUCUGCCACAUUUCUUGGCUGAAGCAGGUCACAAGCAAUCAGGCAAGCUUCCGGGGGACAGCAGACGCUUGGUGGCAAGGACACAAAGGUGUGCGGCGCCUUUCAUCUACUGCACAGGGCAGAGUGGGGAGGAAGGCUCACGCUCCCGGCCCCUUCCUCAGCUCCUUCUCCAUUUUCCUGUGGUGCCAUUGUCUCUGCUUUCAAAACCAUGAGCUCCAAGGGUGCCAGGAUCAUGUCUGCUUUGUCACCAUGGGUCCCUGCUGCUGGUGCUAUGUCUGGCAUAGGGCGGGGCCCUGAAAUCUUGUCGAGUGCCUGAGCCUCUCCUGACAGGACCCACGUCAGUCAGCUGUACAUCACGGUGACCAAGUGCCCCGGAAAGUCAGCUUGAAGGAGGGAAGGGUGAUUUUGGCUCACAGCUUCAGAGGGUGCAGUCCACGGCAGGGUGCUUCAGGGGCGGAAGAUGGUGGCAGAAGGGCCUGGCCAGGGGAGUUGCUCGUAGCCUUGGCCGGGAGGGAGGGCAUGGUGGACGGUGUAACCUAACAUUCGGGAGGCUGGGUGGGAGGAUUGUGAGUUUGGGGCCAGCCCAGGGAACUUAGUGAGACCCUCUCUCAAAAUAAAAAGGGUCCAGGGCCCGGGGAAGUAGCUCAGUGGUAUCGCCGUCUGCCUCGCAAGGGCGAGGACUGGAGUUUGAUCCCCGGUACCAAAAAAAAUAAAAUAAAAUAAAAAAAUUAAAAGGGUUCAACCCCCAUUACUGAAAAGACAGAAAGGAAACACAACAGUAGAGGAAACUCUCACACACGCAUUCUUUUCAUGGCCUGGUCCUUCUUCCCUUGUUUCUUUCUUUUUCUUCUUUUUGUGUUAGUGGGGGUUGAACCCAGGAGUGCUCUACCACUGAGCCAUAUCCCAGCCCUGCCCUUUUUAUUUUUUAUUUGGAAACUUCCCGGGCUGGCCUCAAACCUGCCACCCUCCUGCCUCAGCCUCCCGAGUGCUGCUGUACUCCCAGCCCAGAAGCCAUACUUGCAUCUGUGUUUUGUUUUGUUCUUGUGGUGCUGGGGAUGGAACCCAGGGCCUCGCCCAUGCUAGGCGAGCCUUCUCCUACUGAGCUACAUCCCUAGCCUCGGUUUCCCCACUCCCAAGUCAGCUGGGACAGAGGGGACCCACCUGUCCUGCUCACAUUCUGCCUGCAGCCCUGAAGGUAGUGAGUGCGCGGGCAGUGCCGCUCACAGACGGGUGAGUGUGCACCUGGGCAUGUCCACAGCAGGGCAGGUGCAGCUCCACUCCGCAGCUGGCCAGGUCCGCCCCGGGCUGGGACCUUUGUCCUGGCCGUGCCCAGCGGUGAUAGCACAGGUCCUGGGGCGGGCAAAGGUCUGCUUCGACUGCCAGCCCCGGGGACGGGGACCCUUCUGCAGGUGCCCAUGGGCAGCAGCGAGUGAUGCAGGCCGGCGACAGUGAGGGACUCAGGCCCUCCAGGGUUUUAGUCCAUCGGGGCUCCCUUGACAGAGGGGCAGAGACAUUCAGCCCCCAGCACAGGGCAAUGGCCCAAGUGGGGCAGGUCCAGGGGCAGAGCCCGAGUCCUGGAGGGGAAACCAGCAGCUUGCUGGUCACCUGUGUCCAUGCGGGACCUGAGUAUUUAAUCACAGGUCACCCUGCACCUCCUGCCCCAGGGCCUUUGCACCAGCUGCACCACUGCCUAGAACGCUCCUCCUGCGGAGGAGUCACCUCAGAGAGGCUGUCCCCAACCAUCCCACUGCCCCUGGUGGCCCUGACUGUCUUCAUUCUUCUCCUUGAAGAAGCAGGCGUCACCCGGUAACAGCACCAUCUAACAGAGACCUAACGAGAGACCACACGUGCAACUAACUCUGCAUGGCUGGGAUGGGCCCCAGGGCCUUUGUACCUGCUGGACAAACGCUCUACCCCAGAGCCUCUGCCCCAGCCCUGCAUAUGCAAUUUAACUGUCAGCAGCCACGUUUUGCAAAACAAAAAGAAAAACAAAACAAACAAAUCCGGUGAAAUGAAUUGUAAGUCUUUUAAAAACCGCACAGGACCAAAUGCUGCCAUCCCAACAUGGGUGGGUGUAGGAGACGGAGAGUGUUUGCCGGUCUUCCUUCCAUCCAGGUCUUUGCGGUGUAGGAGCCCCGGGCGUCUGGUGCGCCCGGGCCCUGCCGCACGCGGCUCUCGCGGGACUCGGGUGGCGAGCGUGCUUCUCCCUCACUGUCCUUGCUCGGCCGUGGACGUGGGCGCCCUGGGCAGCGCGGCUCCCGCUCGCCGCCCGCACAGCAGCAGCAGCAGCAGCAGCAGCAGGUGCGCGCCCCCUCCCACCCUCUGGCGCCCUCGGCUGGCGGUCGGCCGCGCGCCUUCCUCCUCUUCCUCGUCCUUCCCCACCCUGCUCUGCCUGGGGCCCAGCGGCCAUAGUGUAGCAAGCCGCUGUCUCAAAAUAAAACAGAAAGGACCGGGGGCGGCUCUGGGGGCUCCACGCAGGGUGACUGCCUGGGGCGCACAAGGCCCUGGGCUCGGUGCCCGGCAUCCCGGCCCUGAGAAAGGCAGACAGCGACAGGGCAGGGGCGGAAAGUCCGGCCCCACGCCUGCUGGGGACAAGGGUGGGGGGGAUGGGGCGCGGGGUGGGGGUGGGGGGUACAAAGGCCCCGGGGCAGAGCAGGAGCAGGUCAGAGGUUUCCUAGGAAAUGGGAGACUGUGGGAAGAGGGGAAGAAAAUAAAGAAAAGAACUUUUAUUGAGAUGUAAUUUGCAUAUAGUAAAUUCCGGCAUUCUAAUUAUUUAUUUAUUUAUUCAUUGGUAGUGGGGAUCGAACUGGGGACCUUGCGCUUGCGAGGCAUCACUGAGCUAAAUCCCCAGUCCUAUUUAUUUAUUGUUGUAGGUGUUUGUUUUCUGCUCGUUUUUUUGAGACAGGGUCUCACUAUGCAGUUCAGGCUGGCCUCGAACUCAGGGGACUCCCCCUGCCUCAGCCUCCUGAGCGCUGGGAUCACAGGCUGUCCACCCCACGCCAGGCUGGACAGCUCAGUGGCUUUAGUACACACCGAGCCGUCUGCCCACCACCACAAUCGAUGUGAGAAGAUUUUCACCUCUCCAGGGAAGGAGCUGCAUACCCCGGAGGAGCCUGUCACCCUCACCCUCCCCGGCCUGGCCACCAGGGGUCGAUUUCUGUCCCCUCGUCGUGCCUGUCCCCGACUCCUCAGAGAAACGGACCCCCCAGCAGGUGGCCCUGCAUCCACCUGUGACACCAGCGAUGUCCACCAGGCCCACGUCCGCCUCCCUCGCUGGCCCGAGACACAGCCGCUGUGCACCAUGGGGCCGCGUGGAUGGGCUGUGUUCCGCGUCUACCCCCAGCCGGGAGCCAAGUGGGUUUUGUGCAGAGACAAUCUGGGGGCAAUUUGAUGAGCAUGUGCUAUAAAUUCUUGCUAAUUUGCCCAGGCUGGGCUUGAACUUGCAACCCUCCUGCCUCAGCUUCCCGGAGUGCUGAGAUUACAGGAUCUCACUAAGUUGUCCAGGCUGACUUCAAACUUGCAAUCCUCCUGCCUCAGCCUCCCGAGCAGCCAUCCUCCGAGCUGGUUUUCGCAGGACCCUCGACCCCUAGUGUGGUCACUCUGUCCCUUCUCCUGUGGCCGCCUCUCAAGACUUCUCUGGGUGACGGCACCCGUAUCUCCCUCCCUCGGCCGCUGUCCCCACCAAGGUCCCGAGGCUGGCCACGUGCGUCCAACCCCCUUUCAUCUCUGCCCUCGCGCUUGUCAGGCACCCACGUGGCAUUGGCACUGUGGCCCUGGGCCCGGCCUUGGGCUCUCUGAGGUCAACACCACGCACAUCUGGACCUUGAGGACAAGUGGCCCGGGUAAGAUGGCCAGGGCAAGCUGGGGCCAAAGGAGGGGGUGGCAUCAGGCCCAGGCCGGCCAAGGCCUCAGCAAAGUGACUCCCCCUUUCCAAGGACCGCCAACAUCACUAGGACCACAGCAAUCCCUAGUGCAAGGAAUCAAUAAAUGUGUAUUAAUUCAGGAGUUGCUACCUGAUGCCUAAUGCAUGAAUUCGCUAACUGAUGACUUCAAGCAUUCACCGAGUACCCGCCUGGUUGUGAGAGAGGAGAGACCAGCGUCUCCCUCCAGGAACCUGCAGACAGAGUGGGUGACUUGCCAUCGAGAGGGCUGGAGCUCAAGUGUACAGCAGACUAAACACUGAAGGAUUUUUCUGAGGAGUGGGCUUUGGGCUGAGACCCGGGAGAGAAGGAGUCAGCCACAGUGGGACCUAGGGUGAGAGUAUUUUAGAAGUGAGAACAGCAAGUGCAAAGGCCCUGGGGCAAGAGAAAGCUGGGGCUGUCUCAGGAGCAGAGAGAAAGUGAGGAUGAAAAAAAAAAAAUAAAAAUAAAAAUAAAUAAAUAAAAAAGCGAGGACACUGGGGUGGAGGGGGAGAGGGGCCUUGGAUGGCAGCAGGGGCAGCCACACGAUCCAGAAGCUGCCACCAAGGGGUUCAGUCCUUACCACAGCCCUGGGGACAUCGGCACGAAGACUGGAGUCUCAGGAAGGCCCUGGACUAGGGCGGGAGACCAGAGGUCGGAUUCCCUGGAAGCUGACUCUGCUGACACCCUGGGCCCAGCCACGGGAAGUCAGGGGUUGGCCAGGCCUCCGCGCUGGACUGCAGGUUCGAGCCCAGGCUGGGCAGCUGAGCAACUCAGGGAGAUCCUGUCUUAGAAAAAAAAAGCUGGUGUGCAGCGCAGCGCAAAGGCGCGGGGUUAGAACCACGCCGGGUGGUGCCGGGUGAUAAAGCUGAGGCCCGGAGGGCUCUCGGAUAAGGCGCCCCGCUGGGCGAGUGGGCCGCGGGGGCGAGGCAGCAGUGAUCUGCUCCCAGGCGAGGCCGGCAUGGAGGGCGUGGGCACGGGGGUGGGGGGGAGGUGGAGACCCGGUCCAGGCUUUGGGGUCCGGCUGAGCUAGCCAAGGCCUCCUUGGUGUGAGCAACGAGGGCAGUUGGUCCCGGGGCGGCUCCCGCCCAAACCGGCAGGGGCGUGGCCGGGGCCUGACAUGCCUCCACCCUUCGCCAACCCGCACCAACCCCCACGCCCACCCUCUCCUCGCCACGCCCCAGUCAGACCGUUGCCCCGCCCGCUGGUCCUUUCCCCGCC
ensembl:lncRNA